AGGCAUCUAAGCGGGAAGCCUGUUCCAAGAUGAGGUCUCCCACCACCUUCGAGUGGGUAAGGCCCCCCAGAGAUGAUGGGGUUGAUAGGCCAGACAUGGAAGCGCAGCAAUGCGUGCUGGAGUGGACUGGUACUAAUCGGCCGAGGGCUUGACCAC
rnacentral:rRNA from 1 species